rnacentral:rRNA from 1 species
AUUGAACGCUGGCGGCAGGCCUAACACAUGCAAGUCGAACGAGUGGCGGACUGGUGAGAAAUGUCUGGGAAACUGCCUGAUGGAGGGGGAUAACUACUUGAAACAGUCGCUAAUACCGCAUACCCUCGGAUGUGCCCCGAUGGGAUUAGCUAGUAUGUGGGGUAAGGGCUCACCUAGGCGACGAUCCCUAGCUGGUCUGAGAGGAUGACCAGCCACACUGGAACUGAGACACGGUCCAGACUCCUAAGGGAGGCAGCAGUGGGGAAUAUUGCACAAUGGGCGCAAGCCUGAUACAGCCAAGCCGCGUGUAUGAAGAAGGCCUUCGGGGUGUAAAGUACUUUAAGCGAGGAGGCGGUAAUCGCAGAAGAAGCACCGGCUAACUCCGUGCCAGCAGCCGCGGUAAUAC